AGGGCUGUAGUUAAGUAUAACAUUUGGUUUGCAUCCAAAAAGUAUUGGUCACCAAUCUGCCUUA
rnacentral:tRNA from 1 species